GCUGUGUAUAUCGAUGAGGACUCAGUGAAGAAAUGAAAUGGUGUUUUAAGGAAAAUGGGAGUUCAUACAGGAGAGCAGAUGCCAACUAAAAGUGGACAGUAGAUUUCCGAAAUGACUCCCUCCCCAGGAAAAUGAAGCUACUACCUCCUUGACCUCCACCAGUUCUAUGAUGCCAAGACACACCCUGUAGCUGUGACCUGAGAAGAGAAAGGCAGAAUCAGUAAGUAACAGCAACAUGGAAGAAAGUCUGUCACAUAUGGAAUACUUUUUAACUAUUUAAUGCAGAUGAAAUGUAAUUUUUCAUCUCUCCAGCAACUUUGUCGUUUAUCUGAAAAUGACUUUUUUGACCUACUGAUGCUACUUAAUCAUUUCUACUACAGAAAAUCCUACCUAGAAGAGCUGGCAUUAACUUUGGAACAAAAGAGCCCUAAUGCACUCAAGACUCUCAGAUCUCGCACCUGCUCUCCAACUAAAGAAGAAAACCGAAGCGAAGCUAAUAUCCUGAAUUUUUGUAGCAAGAUAUUUUCAGAUUUCUUUAUGGAGGCUUAUUACAGUUUGCAAAUCAAUCUGAAAAAAUGCUCCAGGGAAAAAGGCUCCCUUUUUAAAAAUACAGUAAAAGCAUCAUAAAAUCAAUGGAGAGGGUAUGAGAACAUUCAUUUUCUGUGAUUCGAGUUUUUGUAUUUGGGCGGAAUGUGAUUCAGACCACCGUGCUGCAAAACAGAGGGAGCCGCUAAAUUUGUACGUGUUGGGCUGGGGAUUUAGCUCAGCGGCAAAAGCGCCUGCCUGGCAAGCGCAAGGUCAUGACUUCGGUUCCGGGUACCGGAGAAAAAC
rnacentral:lncRNA from 1 species